rnacentral:rRNA from 1 species
AUGCACGCUGGCGGCGUGCCUAAUACAUGCAAGUCGAGCGAACAGAUAAGGAGCUUGCUCCUUUGACGUUAGCGGCGGACGGGUGAGUAACACGUGGGUAACCUACCUAUAAGACUGGGAUAACUUCGGGAAACCGGAGCUAAUACCGGAUAAUAUUUCGAACCGCAUGGUUCGAUAGUGAAAGAUGGUUUUGCUAGCACUUAUAGAUGGACCCGCGCCGUAUUAGCUAGUUGGUAAGGUAACGGCUUACCAAGGCGACGAUACGUAGCCGACCUGAGAGGGUGAUCGGCCACACUGGAACUGAGACACGGUCCAGACUCCUACGGGAGGCAGCAGUAGGGAAUCUUCCGCAAUGGGCGAAAGCCUGACGGAGCAACGCCGCGUGAGUGAUGAAGGUCUUCGGAUCGUAAAACUCUGUUAUUAGGGAAGAACAUACGUGUAAGUAACUGUGCACGUCUUGACGGUACCUAAUCAGAAAGCCACGGCUAACUACGUG